CGGCGGCCCUCGAGGGAAGGGAGGAGCCGGCGUGACAGCCCUUCGCAGCUUCCUGCCACUUGAAUGCCCGGGCGGGAAGAUGAUGGCGGCCGUGGCGGAACGGCUGGCAGGAGAUGCUGGGUGAGAUGGUGCCGCCGCCGCCCCCUCCCCGCCGAGGGGAGCCCAGGAGCCCAAUUCUGAGCCCCCCUCCCGGUCUGGAGCGAAGCCUCCGUCCUUCGGGACAAUAUCAGCCCAUUGAAGUUCCUGAUGACCAAGCCGAUAAACUGCUGUUAGCCAGCUGGGGGCUUCCUGAAGCAGUCCUGGAGAAAUACCAUGCUUUGGGAGUAGUUCAUAUGUUCCAAUGGCAAGCAGAAUGUCUGAUGGUUGGACAAGUUCUGGAAGGAAAAAACUUGGUUUACUCAGCUCCUACAAGUGCUGGGAAAACACUUGUGGCUGAAUUACUCAUACUGAAGAGAGUGUUAGAAACCCGCAAAAAAGCUUUGUUCAUCCUGCCCUUUAUCUCUGUGGCCAAAGAAAAGAAGUAUUACUUGCAGGCUAUAUUUCAAGAAGUAGGUGUGCAAGUGGAAGGCUAUAUAGGCAGUAUUUCCCCCUCUGUCUCGUUCUCUGCCCUGGAUGUUGCUGUCUGUACUAUUGAGAGAGCCAAUGGCCUGAUCAACAGACUCCUAGAGGAGAACAUAAUGGACUUGCUUGGAAUAAUAGUUGUGGAUGAGUUGCACAUGUUGGGAGAUUCUCAAAGAGGGUAUCUCCUGGAACUCCUGUUGACAAAGGUUCGGUUUUUGACUGAAAGAAUGAAAAACAAGCAAACUAACAGGAUCACACCUGUCUUGGAUGGGAUACAAAUUGUAGGCAUGAGUGCCACUCUUCCGAAUCUGGAUCUCUUGGCUUCCUGGCUAAAUGCAGAGUUGUAUCACACAGAUUUUCGCCCAGUGCCCCUUGUGGAGCAACUGAAAAUUGGCAGCAAGAUUUAUGACUCCUCAGUUAAAGUUGUUAGAGAAAUUCAACCUAUGUUGCACAUGAAGGCAGAUGAGGACCAUGUGGUGAGUCUGUGUUAUGAGACUGUUCAGGAUGGACAUUCUGUUCUUGUCUUCUGCCCAUCUAAAAACUGGUGUGAGAAGUUAGCAGAUAUCAUCGCCAGAGAGUUCCAUAAUCUUCAGCAACAGCGUCUUCAGAAAAAAUCGAGCCUUUCACCAGUUGCCCUAAACACAGAGGGGAUAGAAGAGUUGACGAAUCAGCUGAAGCAUUCUCCUACUGGUUUGGACUGUGUGCUUCAGCGAACUAUAAAAUGGGGUGUUGCUUUCCACCAUGCAGGCCUUACAUUUGAUGAACGAGACAAAAUUGAAUCAGCCUUUCGUCAAGGAGUACUCCGAGUCCUAGCAGCAACCUCUACACUUUCUUCUGGGGUGAACCUGCCUGCACGCCGGGUAAUUAUCCGGACUCCUGUGUUCGGCAGCAGAUCACUGGAUGUCUUAACGUAUAAGCAGAUGGUUGGAAGGGCUGGAAGGAAAGGAAUAGACACCAUAGGUGAGAGCAUUCUAGUAUGUAAGCUCUCUGAGAAAUCAAAAGGGAUUGCUCUGCUACAGGGUAGUCUCAAGCCUGUGUGCAGCUGUUUGCUCAGCCAGGAAGGGGAAGGUUUUACUUCCAGUAUGAUUCGGGCAAUCCUUGAGAUCAUAGUUAGUGGUGUGGCCAGCUCUCCAGAUGACAUCCAGGCUUAUGCUGCCUGUACACUUCUUGGUGCUAGCCUGAAAGACUUCCAGGACAGUGGGAGAGAGCAGGAGAGGGUUUGUCAUGGAGCUAUUGAUGCUUGUGUGAAGUGGUUGCUUGAGAAUGAAUUCAUCCAGAUUUCAGUCUCUGGUGUGGGCAAAGAAGUAUAUUGUCCGACACAUCUUGGAUCUGCUACCCUGUUUUCCUCCUUUUCUCCGGCAGCAGCCCUAGAAAUCUUUGCUGAUCUUCAGAGAGCAAUGAAGAGUUUUGUCCUAGAGAAUGAUCUGCACUGUCUCUAUUUGGUCACUCCCGUUUAUGAAGACUGGGCCAAAAUCGAUUGGUACCAAUUCUUUUGCUUAUGGGAAAAAUUGCCUGCUUCAAUGAGAAGAGUAGCAGAGUUGGUGGGGAUUGAAGAAAGCUUUCUUGCACGCUCUGUGAAGGGCAGAAUUAUUGCCAGGACAGAAAAGCAGCAUAGGCAAAUGGCCAUCCACAAAAGAUUUUUCACUAGCCUAGCCCUCCUCGAUUUAAUAAAUGAGAUUCCUUUAAAGGAUGUUGCAAAGAAAUAUGGUUGUAAUCGUGGACAACUUCAGUCUUUACAGCAGUCUGCUGCUACUUAUGCAGGGAUGAUCACCGUUUUCUGUAAUCGGCUGGGAUGGCACAAUAUGGAGCAAUUGCUCUCGCAGUUCCAGAGUCGCCUCAGUUUUGGUGUCCAGAGGGAACUCUGUGAUCUUGUCCGGAUAUCUCUGCUAAAUGCACAGUAUGCCAGAGCUCUUUACAAGGCUGGUUUUAUCACAGUAGCUCAGCUGGCUAAAGGGAAUGUUGCCGAGGUGGAAAAUGCUUUGAGGAACGCAGCACCAUUCAGAAGUAUUCGUAGGGCAGUGGAUGAAGAUGAGCAGGCUGCUGAAGAACGCCUUAAUGACCGUUGUAUCUGGAUCACUGGCCUGAAGGGUUUAAAUGAGAGUGAGGCUGCUCAUCUUGUGGUAGAGGAGGCUAAAAAGCUCUUAAAGCAGGACUUGGCUGAUCUGGGAGUGCAAUGGAAUGGUGAUUCCUCUCUCUUAUCAGAUGGAUCUGACACAUUUUCCGCAACAAGUAGUGAUCUAGAGGAGGAAAAGUGUAGACUGAAUGGCAAUCAGGCAUUCAGAAAUAGCCACAACAUAAUUUUAUCAGGCAAAAAUGUCAGUUCUCAGCUUGGGAAUCCAUCAUGUGUUAAACAAAACAAUAAGAGACACUUAGACUCUAGUACAGCAAAUGCCAGAUUCCAAGAGGAGCCUUUGAUAGAUGAGAUUAAAACAUCAGCCAGGAAUGAUCACAUAUACUCUAGUGCAAGGAAAUGGCCAAAUCUGAACAAAGAGGGAGAAAAUGUGAUGAAUAUUUUUGUGACACAAAAGUUGGAUGCCAGGGAAGCAAUGAAGAACUCUGAAAAGAGAAUGCCAGUCUUAAAAGCAACUACAAGAAAAGUGCACAUUGCCACUAGAUUUAAUGCAAAGAUUGCAAUUCAUUUAAAUCAAAGUUGGGAUAGAGCAUUUGUAAAACAGAGUAGACCGCAGUCUCAACAGUCAGUGAAAAGCAGAUGUUCCAGUAAGCCUUGCCUGUCCUCUACUAGCACUUGUGGGUCAGAGCAAAGGCAUCGACACACUGUAGAUAAAAGAUGGUCACGUUACCAGCGAGAAGCUGACAAAAUAACUUUGUGGGCGAAUGAAACCCAUCAAGAUUGCAGAGAUGAUAUGCAAAAAUUGCUUCUGGAACCUAUAAAUACAAGUGAAUCCAAACAUAAAUUAACAGUAACUUGUCACACUGAUAAACCUACUAGUAAUACUGUAGUGGGAUAUAUGUCUCCUAUUAAAGACCAAAUGGAAAUACAAGAUUAUCCUGAAGAUCUAGAAAUAUCUACUAAGAUACAGAAGCUGGAAACUAAUGGGAACAAAAUGCAGCAAAGUAAAAACAGUACUAGAAACAUACUUAUUGAAAAUACAAUAAUUGGAAGCAGAGAUGUUUAUGCCAAAGCAGCAAGUGGCUCUUCCAACAGAAAUGGGAGCAAACAGAAAGCUAUUUACAGUUGUCAAAAAGACACAGAUUGUCCUGGAAAAUCCAAUGAGGCAUUAUUAGAAGUGGCAUAUAUGAAUAAAGAGAACCAUCGUCCUGAUGAUUUUCUGGAGAAUUCUGAAUAUAUUAAAAAUGGUUAUUCCCCUGAUUUGUAUUUGAAGAAAGAAUUCGAAGACAGCUUCCAGUUGGAUACCCAGACAGAUAGGAUAUUGCAACAGCGAAUGACAGCUGCAAUUGCUGAUGAACAAGGAGUCAAUAGGAGAGAACUAAUAAACCCAAACCAGAAAAGCUUUAUUUGCACAAAGGGUGCUAGUAUUUCAGAAACUGAUGUUAUGUAUACCAAGGACAAACUAGAGUGCAGAAAAGUAAAACUAUCACAUGUGAAGAAAGAUAAUGCAGCAGAAAGUACAGGUUUACUGUGUAGUAAGGUGUCAAGCUCGGAGAUUUCUCAUUUAAAGCCUGCUGCAAAGUACUCCCAAACACCAAUUUUCCUGGAAGGAAACAGUUUUUCCUUCACUGACUCCCAGCUGCACAGCUUCUUACAAGGUUAUCAGACUCCCGAUUUAACAGAAGAGCCAGCAUCUCCUGUUCUUCCAAAUACCACUUCUCAUUCUCCUAGUCAGUACCCUCCCAUUGUAGCCACAAAUGUGAAGUGCUGUCCCCUGCCUGAAGUAAAUCUGAAUCACAGUGAUAGUUUGCUGUUUGAUGAAAGCUUUAGCCACAUUAAUGACCCCCAGGACAUUCACUUUAGUGAAGCUGUCCCUUUGGUGGCACCUUCACAGCAGCAAAUCAUUCCUUCUCCUUCCAAGUCCACUGUAAAAUAUGAUCCCUCCAGUCAUCAGAAUGUAGAGUCAGUUACACGUGCCAGUGUAAGCCAGGAAGAAUUUCAGCAAUUGGCAGGGUGUAAUGAAGAUGAGUCCCUUCUCUUCUUAGAUACAGAUUCUUCUCAUGUAGCAGAGAAUUUGGAUAGUGUGGUUCUGUCUCCUUUCCAUAGAGUCACCCACACAAAACUGAAUGAGGUAGUUGGUGAUGCAAGACCUGAUAAUACUAGAAAGGGUGCAGGUGAAAACCUGCAGAAAGCUCAUGUAGGAAAAACUGCCAAUCCAGUAGACCAAUGCGAUUUUUUAUUUGAUUUAAGUCCAGGAAUGAAAGAAAUUUUAGACAGAUGGCCAAGCUCCUCAACUAAUAAACCUGAACUAGGUUCAAUAAAUAAUUUGAGAGUAGUUGCCUCCAAGAGUAAUCAGGAUUCAAGUGUAAUUUCAGACUACCAUCAUCAACAAGAGGAGUUAUCCUCCUGCAACAAUUUAAAGAAUAUCUGCAUAACUGGAAAGAUGGAGGAUCAAAAUAAGAUUUGUACAUCUAUGCUAAUCAGCAGAAAUGAGCGAUCUGAUCCUUGGACAGAUGGAAACAAGGGACUUCUUCGUCCAGUGUCCCUUAUGGAGUCUACUUCACAGUGUGUAGGACUAUCCUUUGUGAAAUCUGCACAAACAAAAAAUAUGAACCCCACAGACAAUGUUCCAUGUUUCCUCCUCCUACAGAAUGAUGAACUUGAUUCACACCUGCAAGCAGAAAUCGUGCAGCAUCAACCAGAAACUGGAGCACAUGGUGAGCUUUUACUUGAGGAUGAUAACUCUAUUAUAGAUGAACAUUUUUCGCUUCAGUUAUCUCAAGAUAAAGUCUCAUCACCAUCUUCUGGCGCUGAAAGCUUCACUAUAAUUGAUGUGGCAAAUGAUAAAGAUCUCUUCCAAACAUUUAUUAAAGAAUGGAGAACAAAAAAGAAGUUUGCUAUCUCAGUGGCUUGUGAAAAAACAAAGAACCACUUUCCCCAUCAAUCAGCUAUUGGUGCCAAGUUCCAACAAGGAAAAGCUUCCCAGAAAACGCAGGGCAAAGGUGAUGGGCUUCCCGUUAAAGACUGUGAAGAGCUAUUGGUCACUGGGUUAGCUGUUUGCUGGGGUGGAAAGGAUGCUUAUUAUAUCUCAUUGCAGCAGAAGCCCCAAGAACAGACUGAAAUUAGUGCCAGUUUGGCACCACCUCCGUUGGAUCAGAAUUUGUCUGUAGCAGAGAGAUUGCAGCACCUUCAAUUAUGCCUGCAGGAGUCCAAGAGAUCUUUCUUACUUGCCGUCUAUGACUUCCUUGAGCACUACAAGAUUCUCCUGAAGACUUGUGGCAUCUCUUUGGCAGGGUGUUUUGAGGACCCAAAGGUGGCAUGCUGGCUGCUAGAUUCUGGGUCUAAAGAGUACUCCCUUUACAACAUGGUCUCCAGAUUUCUUCCUCAAGAAUUGUCCUUGCUUGAUGGAAUUGGAGUAGGCCAUGGGGAUCAGAGCCUGGGGCUUGGUGCCAGUGCAGAUCACUCCGGACGGUACAGAGCAGCUGUAGAAUCUGUGCUGGUCUUCCAUAUCAUGAAUCCACUCAACACUUCAUUGCAUAGGGAUAACUUGCAAGAUAUUUUUCGUAAGGUGGAGAUGCCAAAUCAAUAUUGCUUGGCCUUGCUGGAGCUCAACGGUAUAGGCUUUAGCAUGAUAGAGUGUGAGACCCAAAAAUAUAUCAUGCAGGCCAAACUAAAUGAGAUUGAGAAUCGAAUAUAUCAGCUGGCAGGCCACAGUUUCUGCUUGACUUGUCCUGAUGACAUUGCUGAGGUGUUGUUUUUGGAGCAGAAGUUGCCACCAGAUGGAGAAAUAAAAAUGCAAAAGAAAACAUUAGGCUAUACCAGAAGGGCAAUGGCAAAAGGAAACCGAGUCAGAUUGGGCAAGCAAUUCAGAACAACCAAGGAUGUGUUAGAGAAAUUGAAGGUGUUACACCCAUUACCAGGCCUCAUUUUAGAAUGGAGGAAGAUAACCAAUGCAAUAACCAAAGUGAUAUAUCCACUGCAGAGGGAGAAGCAUUUGAAUCCUGUGCUAGGAAUGGAAAGAAUCUAUCCUGUUUCCCAAUGCUACAGUGCUACAGGUCGCAUAAGCUUCAGAGAGCCAAAUAUACAGAAUGUGCCCAAAGACUUUGAGAUUGAAAUGCCAACCUUAGUUGAAGAGAGUCCUCCCUCUCAAGGACCACACAAGGGAUCCAAUGUUCUAGGAAGAAGAGUUAGAAAGUGUUCAGUCCUUCCAUGUGGGGCUAAGAGUUUGACUGAAGAGUUGUGCAAGAGGAGAAGACUGCCAUUUUCUGUUAGCUUGAGACAUGCCUUUGUUCCAUUUCCAGGUGGCUUGAUCUUGGCUGCAGAUUACUCCCAGCUCGAGCUGAGGAUCCUUGCUCAUUUGUGCCGUGAUGAUCGGCUUCUACAGGUCUUAAAUGAUGGUGGUGAUGUCUUCAAAACCAUUGCAGCUGAGUGGAAAAUGAUUGAUCCGGAAGUGGUUGGGGAUGAUUUAAGGCAACAAGCCAAGCAGAUUUGCUAUGGAAUAAUCUAUGGAAUAGGAGCUAGAUCCUUAGGAGACCAAAUGGAUGUUGAGGAAUCAGAAGCUUCCUGUUACAUUGAAUCCUUCAAAUCAAGAUACACAGGUAUUCAAAAAUUCCUGAGAGAGACAGUGAAGAAGUGCAGCCAGGAUGGGUUUGUGCAGACAAUCAUGGGACGGCGUAGGUACCUGCCAGCUAUUAAGGACCCAAACCCUUACAAGAAGGCUCAGGCAGAGAGGCAAGCUGUAAACACUGUUGUCCAAGGCUCUGCAGCAGAUAUUGUCAAAACAGCCACAGUGAAUAUUCAGACACAGCUAGAAGCUUUACCUUCAGCAGUAAAAUCUUAUGGACAUUUGGAAAGCUCAUUCCAGAAAGAAUGGUCAGGAAAUUCAGAGAGGGCAGAAAAGAGGAAGAUUUUGUAUCCCAGCCAUGGUGGGUUCUUCAUUCUCCAGCUCCAUGAUGAACUUCUAUAUGAGGUGACAGAAGACAGCAUGAUUCAGGAACCACGCGGUAGCUAUGCCUCAGCUUGUCAAGGUGUUCGAACCCCGCCCCCACACCAGAGCGUGCUAUUUAAAGGCGGGCUGGACAUGACGUCCCUCAGUUCUUGGACAACUGCCAUGGAGGACAACCAUCCAGAGCGGUUGAUGGAGGGGUGAACCUCAUUCCCAUGAACCGUGGGAUUGCCUUGAAUUCGAUGGCAUAUCCUGAAGAUAUGAUCUUCAAGACCCAGCGGUCUGAUGUUAUAUGUUGCCACAGUUGGGCAUGGCAUGCCAGCUUGUUGGAAGGCUGUAGCAGAGAUGGAGGGAUGGUGUGAUCUGUCAGCUGAGAUGUGAAAACCCUGAUGGGGAGAAUGGGAUGUGGAGAGAUGCCAGUGGGUGGACCUGCAUUUCAAAGCCGCUUCCGGGCGACUGAAGUCUUGGAAGGCUGCAGCUGGGAAGGCUUGAAUUUAGCCUGGUGGCACAGAUUGUUAAGCAUGAAAUGGAAAAUGCUGUGAAACUCUCAGUGAAGCUCUCCGUAAAAGUCAAAGUUGGACCUAGCUGGGGAGACCUGCAAGAGUUGGAGCUGUCAACAUAACAUAGAAGCUUGUCCUACAUAAUGGACUCCCAACUCUGCAACCUAAUACAAGGCUUCUAACACCAAACUCAGCAACCUGGACACAUUUAUUUUUCAUGCUCAGUUGAUGCUGUAGUUGACUUAUCAGAUGAAUCUUAAAACUUUAAAUGAAUUCACCUAAGCAAACAUUUAAGGUCACAUUGCACAACCAGAAAUGUGUUUUUUCCCCUUUCAAAUUACAAUGAACUGUUUAGAGCAAAGUAUUUAAACUGAUUCCUAUUAAAAUAUUAAGAGCUGAGAUAAAUAUUUUUAAAGUUUAGUAAUUCACCGUUUCUUAAUGAAACUUCCAAAAAACAUCCACUCUAAGUAUUUUUAAAUAAGUGAGCCAGCCUCUUCAGAUACAGCACAAUUUGGAUCCUCAGGAAAGUGUGAUUGUUUUUCUGUUCUGUUGCCACAGAAGCCUCAUAUUGGCUCAGUUUAUAUUUAUGUACCAUUAAUCUCACCAUGCACUUAACAGAACGUAUAAUAUGGGGCAGCUGUGUGCAUGAUGCCCCAAGUUUCUGUGAUCUUUCCAUCUCUUUAACAAAGCAUCUCAGGAAUUGGGCGUAGGAUUGCAGGAACUGGGCAUACAUGCACAUGUAUGUUACACCAAAUGAACAGCUGUGGUUGCAGUGCCCAAGCAAUCCUGCCUUCAUCUACAUGAAUUCCAGACAGCAAAUGAGUGAAAUGGCUCAUUGCUACACCAUACUGAACUGGCUUCCUAUUGGGCAGUCUCAUAAAGAGCAUGAGAUCUACUUCUAGUAAAUAUUUUACUUGCCUUGGGAAAAUGAAGGGACACUUUUCUUACCAGUCUCAUUUUCCUUUUCACAAAUGCUAUGUAGCUAUGCUAUGUCAUGUGAUGCUGCCUCUUCAGGUUUUUAUGCUAGCUUUUCAAUCAAGUUGUUUGCUUUGUACCAUUGGAUAGAUGCUUGAUUUAUCAUUGUGUAAAUAAUAAAACAGAUUUUUAUAUUACUUUUAUUCAUGUAACUUGAUUUAUUGAUUUAAAUUGAUUUAUGGUGAUUUAUUGUGUAAAUAAUAAAACAGAUUUUUAUAUUA